rnacentral:lncRNA from 1 species
ACCCUGGGCCGCCUCAGCUGAGCGCGCGGACUUACCCACCCAGCCACGGAGCCGGCCCCUUCAUUUAUUCUUAACUGUCAUUUUCUCUCUCUCAGCCUACACCAAAUUUGAAACAAAGAGCUACAAGAGAAAUUUCUUGGAGGUUUCCAGACUGGACUUUCCUCUCCAAGAAAUCAGAAUGCUAGUCAUCGUCCUCCUUGAGAGAGUCUCUGGAUUAGUAUCUACUAUUCUAUUUAGUGUUCCAGAAUUCUACUCCAGGUCGAAAUAAUCCAUCAUUUUUCAUAAUGUAUGUGGAAUAUUAUCUAGCAAUUUGUUAUAUGUAUAU